GGAUGUGAGGGCGAUCUGGCUGCAACAGCUGUCACCCCCAUUGGUCACCAGCGUUGAUUUGGCUGAUCCGGCUGGCUGGGCAGGUGUCCCCUUCCUCCCUCACCACUCCACAUGUGUACCUCCUGAGGCUGCGUACUCGUUCAAAGAGGAUGACCAUCCCCGAGCGAGGUGGACCGGUCUUCCGUCAAGGGUACACAAGUAGCCGUGCUUCCCCUGCUAGAACCUCCAAACAAACUCUCAAGGUGCAAAGUGCAUUUCUUUUUUUUUUUUUUUUUUUUGAGACGGAGUCUCGCUCUGUAGCCCAGGCUGGAGUGCAGUGGCCGGAUCU
rfam:Macaca mulatta chromosome 3, whole genome shotgun sequence.